rnacentral:rRNA from 1 species
AGUCGUAACAAUGUCUCCGAUGGAGAACCAGCGGAGGGAUCAUUAUCAGAGUUACAAAACUCACUAAACCCACUGUAAAUGUACCUAUUUGGCCGCUCCGGCAGGCGGUCCCAGGGCGGGACCACAGCCUCUCCAGGCGCCUGCCGAAAGUGGCGCAACUUUUGCUCUUUACCUAUAUUUCUGAGUCUCUAGACAAAAAUUAUCAAAAUUUUCAAUUGUGGAUCUCUUGGUUCUGGCAUCGAUGAAGAACGCAGCGAAAUGCGAUAAGUAAUGUGAAUUGCAGAAUUCAGCGAAUCAUCGAAUCUUUGAACGCACAUUGCGCCCAUUAGUAUUCUAGUGGGCAUGCCUGUUCGAGCGUCAUUUCAACCCUCGGGCCUGUAUGGGUCUGGCGUUGGGGCCUUUGCCGCCUGGCAAGCUCCGAAAGCAAGUGGCGGACCUGCUGAGACCCCGAGCGUAGUAGUUUACACCUCGCUUAGGGGCAUCUAGCGGGCAGCACCAGCCGUAAAAGCAAAAGACACCUCAAAGUAGUCUUCAGGUUGACCUCGGAUCAGGUAGGAAUACCCGCUGAACUUAA